UGCAGUCGAGCGCCCCGCAGGGGAGCGGCAGACGGGUGAGUAACGCGUGGGAAUCUACCCUUUUCUACGGAAUAACGCAGGGAAACUUGUGCUAAUACCGUAUGAGCCCUUCGGGGGAAAGAUUUAUCGGGAAAGGAUGAGCCCGCGUUGGAUUAGCUAGUUGGUGGGGUAAAGGCCUACCAAGGCGACGAUCCAUAGCUGGUCUGAGAGGAUGAUCAGCCACAUUGGGACUGAGACACGGCCCAAACUCCUACGGGAGGCAGCAGUGGGGAAUAUUGGACAAUGGGCGCAAGCCUGAUCCAGCCAUGCCGCGUGAGUGAUGAAGGCCCUAGGGUUGUAAAGCUCUUUCACCGGUGAAGAUAAUGACGGUAACCGGAGAAGAAGCCCCGGCUAACUUCGUGCCAGCAGCCGCGGUAAUACGAAGGGGGCUAGCGUUGUUCGGAAUUACUGGGCGUAAAGCGCACGUAGGCGGAUUGUUAAGUGAGGGGUGAAAUCCCAGGGCUCAACCCUGGAACUGCCUUUCAUACUGGCAAUCUAGAGUCCAGAAGAGGUGAGUGGAAUUCCGAGUGUAGAGGUGAAAUUCGUAGAUAUUCGGAGGAACACCAGUGGCGAAGGCGGCUCACUGGUCUGGAACUGACGCUGAGGUGCGA
rnacentral:rRNA from 1 species